GACGAACGCUGGCGGCAUGCUUAACACAUGCAAGUCGAACGGAAAGGCCCUGCUUUUGUGGGGUGCUCGAGUGGCGAACGGGUGAGUAACACGUGAGUAACCUGCCCUUGACUUUGGGAUAACUUCAGGAAACUGGGGCUAAUACCGGAUAGGAGCUCCUGCUGCAUGGUGGGGGUUGGAAAGUUUCGGCGGUUGGGGAUGGGCUCGCGGCUUAUCAGCUUGUUGGUGGGGUAGUGGCUUACCAAGGCUUUGACGGGUAGCCGGCCUGAGAGGGUGACCGGCCACAUUGGGACUGAGAUACGGCCCAGACUCCUACGGGAGGCAGCAGUGGGGAAUAUUGCACAAUGGGCGGAAGCCUGAUGCAGCAACGCCGCGUGCGGGAUGACGGCCUUCGGGUUGUAAACCGCUUUCGCCUGUGACGAAGCGUGAGUGACGGUAAUGGGUAAAGAAGCACCGGCUAACUACGUG
rnacentral:rRNA from 1 species